GUGUUAGCAUGGGGAGACGGCUGCGGUCCUGGUGGCUAGUGCAAUUUCAACAAAUUGAUCGAAUCACGAUGUGACAUGCCAAUGCAAUGUCAGCAUGAUGAGUCCUUUUGGCAGCAAUAAUUGAUAGGGAAAUGAAGCCAUGCCAAUCUGAUUCCUGUAUUCAAGUACCUAAGAUUCAUGCAGCAUCAUGGACUACGAAGCACGCCAUGAUCUACUCAC
rnacentral:lncRNA from 1 species